rfam:Chaetomium globosum CBS 148.51 scaffold_3 genomic scaffold, whole genome shotgun sequence.
GGGAGCUUGGCUCAGUUGGAAGAGCGCAGGUCUCAUAUUGAGUUAUGAUCCCGUCUUAAGACCGGGGCUAUCCUGAGGUCGUGAGUUCGAGCCUCACAGUUCCCA